rnacentral:rRNA from 1 species
AUGGAGAGGCAGAGGGGUGGUUCCUCCCCCAGCCGCCCCGCGAGCCCCAAGAGCCUCCUCCUCAUCUCCUUCGCUUCCUCAUCCCUCCUCUUCUCCUUCCUCUUCUCCCUCUUCGCCCUCCGCUUCGGCCGCCCCAUCCACCUCCCCUUCGCCGCCUCCAUCGGCGCCAACGGCUCCGCCACCGCGGUCCCGCCGGUUCGCGGCGGCGGUGGUGGUGCAGGAGCGGAGGUGUUUAUUGGGGGCGGAGGCGGGGCCUUGGGGGAAGAUUCGGCUGUGGAGGGAGACCGCCACGGGCGUGCUGGUGGUUUGCCCGUGGGCUCGGCAAUGAAGGCUGAUGAAGCCGGUCCUGGAGGUGGGAUUUUUGAAACCCCCGCGGGUGGUGCGGUUUCGGAGAUGCCCGAGGUUGCGGAAGCGGGAGGCUAUUCUCUCCGAGGUUUGGAUUCGACAGUGGAGGAGAAAGGAGGUGUUCGACCAGGUGGAGACAGCGAGAAGCUGGCGAAAGAUUCGGUUCCGGUGAAACCCAACUCCACCGAAGGCAAGAAAGCUGAUGCCGUCUCGGCAAGGAGGUCAAAUGUAGGCAAUGCUUCUGCCUCCCACGGCCAUGGGGCAGCUGCGUCAGUUGAGAAAUCCGAUAGAGCAAAGCCUGCGCAAGCUGUCAAUUUCUCCACGGAAGCUUCAGGUUCAGUUCCCGUAGCGGGGACAAAAGGCGAAUCCCUGCACGGUGGCCAUGCCGGAGAAAAGGGCGAUUCCUCUGCACAAGGGUCUUAUGCUUCGCAACAGGCGGGCCAGUGGGAAAUCUCAAACCGUUCAGCAAAGAACAACUCAGGAGAAGCUCCAGCCAAUCCAAAUACUAAGCAGGAUGCUAAUGUGAUUCAGGAAGCGGUUCAGAGAAAACUGGAUUUGGCGAGAAGCAGCAUAGCGCAGUGCGAUGUUUACGACGGGAGCUGGGUGUUCGAUGAGAGCUACCCACUCUACGCAAGCAAUUCGUGCCCAUUCGUAGACCAAGGGUUCAGCUGUGAAGCAAAUGGAAGAACGGAACAAAAGUAUACCAAGUGGAGGUGGCAGCCAAGGCAUUGCAAUAUCCCUAGGUUUGAUGCUAGGAAAAUGCUCGAGAUGCUGCGCGGAAAGCGGCUAGUGUUCGCAGGGGACUCCCUUAACAGGAAUCAAUGGGAGUCCAUGAUGUGCUUGCUGAGAGAAGCAGUGUCAGACCCUGCAAGGAUUCAUGAAACCCGUGGCCGCAAGAUUACCAAGGAGAGAGGGGAUUACAAUUUCAAGUUCCUGGACUACAACUGCACUGUGGAGUACCAUGUCACCCAUUUCUUGGUGCAUGAAGGCAAGUCGAGAAUCGGCCAAAAGCAUGCAAGGACACUGCGGAUUGAUACCAUCGACCGGAGCUCGUCAAGAUGGAAGGGGGCGAAUGUGCUUGUGUUUAAUACUGCCCAUUGGUGGUCUCAUCAUAAAACAAAAGCUGGAUUGAAUUAUUAUCAAGAAGGGGAUACUGUCCAUCCCCACCUCGAUGCCUCCACAGCUUUCCAUCGAGCACUAACCACAUGGGCAUCAUGGGUCGACCGUUACAUUGAUCCACGGAAAACGCAAGUGUUCUUCCGAAGCUCAUCCCCAUCACACUUCAGCGGCGGGGAGUGGAAUUCCGGGGGGCACUGCAGAGAGAGCACAAUGCCUCUUAAUGACACUCGGGCAAGGCCGGUGCCCGAGAGAAAUGCGAUGUUGGAACAAGUGGCGAAGCAAAUGAAGACUCCUGUAACAGUUCUGAACAUUACCAAUCUAUCUGGUCUCAGGAUAGAUGGCCACCCCUCUGUGUAUGGGAGUAAGGCAGGAGAUUUAACAGCAUCCAGCACCCAGGAUUGCAGCCACUGGUGCCUUCCUGGAGUGCCUGAUACAUGGAAUGAGCUGCUGUUCUACCAUUUAGUAUCCUCACACGAGAACGGUUUUACAAGUUAG